GACGAACGCUGGCGGCGUGCCUAACACAUGCAAGUCGAGCGGGGUUGAGGCGAGAGGUAACUCGAGCUUCUACCUAGCGGCGGACGGGUGAGUAACGCGUGGGCAACCUGCCUCAAGGUUUGGGAUAACAGCCCGAAAGGGCUGCUAAUACCGGAUAUGCCUAUGGCCUCGCAUGGGGCUAUGAGCAAAGGGGAAACCCGCCUUGAGAUGGGCCCGCGUCCCAUCAGCUAGUUGGUGAGGUAACAGCUCACCAAGGCGACGACGGGUAGCCGGCCUGAGAGGGUGACCGGCCACACUGGGACUGAGACACGGCCCAGACUCCUACGGGAGGCAGCAGCUAAGAAUCUUCGCAAUGGGGCAACCCUGACGGAGCGACGCCGCGUGAACGAGGAAGGCCGAAAGGUUGUAAAGUUCUUUCUUGGGGAAGAAUAAAGGGAAGAGGGAAUGCUUCUCUGAUGACGGUAACCGAGGAAAAAGCCCCGGCAAUUACGUAGCCAGCAGCCGCGGUAAUACGUCUA
rnacentral:rRNA from 1 species